CCUCGAUGUCGGCUCGUCGCAUCCUGGGGCUGGAGAAGGUCCCAAGGGUUGGGCUGUUCGCCCAUUAAAGCGGCACGCGAGCUGGGUUCAGAACGUCGCGAGACAGUUCGGUCCCUAUCUGUUGCGGGCGUUGGAGCAUUGAGGAGACCUGCCACUAGUACGAGAGGACCGUGGUGGACGUACCUCUAGUGUACCAGUUGUGCCGCCAGGUGCACCGCUGGGUAGCUAUGUACGGGAACGGAUAAGCGCUGAAAGCAUCUAAGCGCGAAGCCAACUCCAAGAUGAGUGCUCCAUUCCCUUCGGGGUAAAAGGGUCGUGGAAGAUGACCACGUUGAUAGGCGACAGGUGGAAGUGCAGCAAUGCAUGGAGCCGAGUCGUACUAAUUACCCGAACGCUUCCUUUU
rnacentral:rRNA from 1 species